AAUCACUUUUUGAGGCAUGAACUUGGCAAUUUUCCCCACAUUUGGGCCUGAAAUUUUUUUUGUCCAAGUGAGGCCCUAAACUAGGCAAUUGUUUUCAUAUGGGGGCUGGAACUUUUUCUUUGGUCCAAGUUAGUCCUUGAAAUGUGGGAACAAACUUGGACAAAUAAAAGGUUCAAGCCCCAAUGUGGGAACAGUUGUCAAAUUCAGGGCCUAACUUGAACCAAAAAAAAAAAUCCAGGCCCCAAUGUGGGAAAAGUUGCUAAGUUCAGGCCCCAAAUAGUGAUUU
rnacentral:pre_miRNA from 1 species